rnacentral:rRNA from 1 species
UUAAAUUGAAGAGUUUGAUCAUGGCUCAGAUUGAACGCUGGCGGCAGGCCUAACACAUGCAAGUCGAACGGUAACAGGAAACAGCUUGCUGUUUCGCUGACGAGUGGCGGACGGGUG